rnacentral:rRNA from 1 species
GACGAACGCUGGCGGCGUGCUUAACACAUGCAAGUCGAACGGAAAGGCCCUGCUUGCAGGGUACUCGAGUGGCGAACGGGUGAGUAACACGUGGGUGAUCUGCCCUGCACUUCGGGAUAAGCUUGGGAAACUGGGUCUAAUACCGGAUAGGAGCCAUCUUUAGUGUGGUGGUUGGAAAGUUUUUUCGGUGUAGGAUGAGCUCGCGGCCUAUCAGCUUGUUGGUGGGGUAAUGGCCUACCAAGGCGGCGACGGGUAGCCGGCCUGAGAGGGUGUACGGCCACAUUGGGACUGAGAUACGGCCCAGACUCCUACGGGAGGCAGCAGUGGGGAAUAUUGCACAAUGGGCGCAAGCCUGAUGCAGCGACGCCGCGUGGGGGAUGAAGGCCUUCGGGUUGUAAACUCCUUUCGCUAGGGAAGAAGCUUUUUUGUGACGGUACCUAGAUAAGAAGCACCGGCUAACUACGUG